rnacentral:rRNA from 1 species
CAAAAGAAGAGUUUGUAGUGGAUGCCUUGGGUCUGGAAGUCGAAGAAGGACGUGAUUACCUGCGAUAAGCCUCGUUUAGUUGGAUAUAAACUUUGAGACGGGGAUUUCCGAAUGGGGAAACCUAACUAGAUUAAUCUCUAGUUGCCCACUUUUGAAUAUAUAGAAAGUGUGAGCGAGACACCUUGUGAAUUGAAACAUCUUAGUAGCAAGAGGAAAAGAAAAUAAAUAAUGAUUCUGUUAGUAGUGGCGAGCGAAAGCAGAAGAGCCCAAACCGUAUUUAUACGGGGUUGUAGGACAGUCUACAUAGAGUUACAAAGAUUAUGUAUAGUAGAAAAAGCUGGGAAGCUUUGACAUAGAGGGUGAUAUCCCCGUAUACGAAAUGCAUAAUUCUCUUGACUGCAUCCUGAGUAGGGCGGGGCACGUGAAACCCUGUCUGAAUCUGCCGGGACCAUCCGGUAAGGCUAAAUACUAACCAGACACCGAUAGUGAACUAGUACCGUGAGGGAAAGGUGAAAAGAACCCCGGGAGGGGAGUGAAAUAGAUUCUGAAACUACUUACUUACAAUUAGUCAGAGCACGUUAAUGUGUGAUGGCGUACAUCUUGCAGUAUGGACCGGCGAGUUAUGUUAACAUGCGAGGUUAAGUGGAUAAAAGCGGAGCCGAAGAGAAAUCGAGUCUGAAUAGGGCGAAUUAGUAUGUUGACAUAGACCCGAAACCAGGUGAUCUAUUCAUGAGCAGGUUGAAGCUUAGGUAAUACUAAGUGGAGGACCGAACCGUAGUACGCUGAAAAGUGCCCGGAUGACUUGUGAAUAGCGGUGAAAUUCCAAUCGAACCUGGAUAUAGCUGGUUCUCCUCGAAAUAGCUUUAGGGCUAGCGUGUGAUGUUAAACUUUGGUGGUAGAGCACUGAAUAUGGAAUGGCGGCGCCUAGCUGUACUGACUAUAAUCAAACUCCGAAUACCAUUGUGUAUUAUCAUGCAGUCGGAACAUCGGUGAUAACGUCGAUGCUCGCGAGGGUAACAACCCAGAUCGUCAGCUAAGGUCCCAAAAUUUAUGUUAAGUGAUAAAGGUUGUGAGGUUUCUCAAACAACUAGGAAGUUGGCUUAGAAGCAGCCAUCUUUUAAAGAGUGCGUAAUAGCUCACUAGUCAAGAGACCUUGCGCCGACAAUGUAACGGGACUAAACAUAAUACCGAAGCUACGGGCAUUAUUAAAUGCGUUAGAGGAGCGUUCUAAGGACGGCGAAGCUAAACCGUGAGGAUUAGUGGAGUGCUUAGAAGUGAGAAUGCCGGUAUGAGUAACGAUUCAGAGUGAGAAUCUCUGACGCCUAUUGGGAAAGGUUUCCUGGGGAAGGUUCGUCCACCCAGGGUUAGUCGGGUCCUAAGAUCAGGCUGAAAAGCGUAGUCGAUGGAUAACAGGUUAAUAUUCCUGUACU